rnacentral:rRNA from 1 species
UACGGGGGGGGCAAGCGUUGUUCGGAAUCACUGGGCGUAAAGGGUGCGUAGGCGGGUCUUUUAAGUCAGGGGUGAAAUCCUGGAGCUCAACUCCAGAACUGCCUUUGAUACUGAAGAUCUUGAGUUCGGGAGAGGUGAGUGGAACUGCGAGUGUAGAGGUGAAAUUCGUAGAUAUUCGCAAGAACACCAGUGGCGAAGGCGGCUCACUGGCCCGAUACUGACGCUGAGGCACGAAAGCGUGGGGAGCAAACAGGG